CUUCCCACCCUCUCUUGAAAACGGCGGCUAAACGGCGGCCGCCGCCCACAGUUUGGAUUGUUCUCUAUAAAGAUCCCGUUCUCUCCAUGGUCCCUUUCUCGCUCUCUUCCCUUUCUCGUUCGUCUUCUUCGCAGGGUCUGCUCUUCAGGAUCUUCAUUUUCCAAUGAAGCCGAGGUUCUUGAAACCUCCUCCUCAGCCUCCCAUAACGAAGGCCCUGCGUUUGGUCGCCCACAUCAGCCUCGGACGUGAAGAAACUUCUCUCAAUCCCCACCGCGCAAACCCGAUGAGGGUUCCCAAGAGCUUAUACUUCCAUCCGAGCCUUCCAUUCCUUCUGAUCAUGGAAUGUUUGCCCUACUACCAGCAGCAUCCUCUGCACCAGCAUGGAUUUGUUCAAGUAGUUGUCCUUGAUGCUGUUUGCUAUGUUUCUUAAAUUUUUUCACAUGCCGGGAUACAGCCCACAGAUUGAAGAUCCAAAGGAUUGAUUAUUGGAAAAGCUGAUCCUGGACAGUACCCGAGCAAAAGUACCAAUGAUCCCAUAAUCUCGUACAGUUCUUGCGAUAUAUCACCAAAGCUUGCUCCUUUCGCCAGCCCGAGUGAGAUCGACAACCCGGACUUGUAGAACGACUGUGGGUAAAUCACUGCAAGAGCCUAAUACUGGAGGUGCCAAGGCUGCUUCUUGCAAGGAAUUGAGAGAGAGCAAAUACAAGUUCAAUUAGAAGCCUUGCCAAGGAGGUUGUACUAGGUGAGUGUUAUUGUAAUAUUUGUGAAGUAGGUUUUAAAGACCUACUCGUAUUAAAGGUUAAAAAUAGGCAGUUUUGAAGUGUUUUGUCAUUGAAUGUAUUUAGACAUAUGACAAUGUUACUGAUGUUUCUUCUUUGACAAUGUUAUCUAGUGAUGUGGUUAGAAAUUGUACUAGGUGAGUGUUAUUAUAAUCUAUUAUUUAGCUAGGUAAUUUGA